rnacentral:tRNA from 1 species
UGAGGGGUCGUCUAAUGGUAGGACAACAGGUUCUGGCCCUGUUUAUCGAGGUUCGAGACCUUGCCCCUCAGCCA